rnacentral:rRNA from 1 species
AUUGAACGCUGGCGGCAGGCCUAACACAUGCAAGUCGAGCGAGCGGCGGACGGGUGAGUAAUGUCUGGGGACUGCCCGAUAGAGGGGGAUAACUACUGGAAACGGUAGCUAAUCCCGCAUACUAUCGGAUAACCCAGAUGGGAUUAGCUAGUCGGUGGGGUAACGGCUCACCGAGGCGACGAUCCCUAGCUGGUCUGAGCGGAUGAUCAGCAAAACUGGGACUGAGACACGGCCCAGACUCCUACGGAGGCAGCAGUGGGGAAUAUUGCACAAUGGGCGCAAGCCGGAUGCAGCCAUGCCGCGUGUAUGAAGAAGGCCGUAGGGUUGUAAAGUACUUUCAGUCGGGAGGCGUUACCGGCAGAAGAAGCACCGGCUAACUCCGUGCCAGCAGCCGCGGUAAUUC